rnacentral:rRNA from 1 species
GACGAACGCUGGCGGCGUGCUUAACACAUGCAAGUUGAACGGAAAGGCCCUGCUUUUGUGGGGUGCUCGAGUGGCGAACGGGUGAGUAACACGUGAGUAACCUGCCCUUGACUUUGGGAUAACUACAGGAAACUGGGGCUAAUACCGGAUAGGAGCUCCUGCUGCAUGGUGGGGGUUGGAAAGUUUCGGCGGUUGGGGAUGGACUCGCGGCUUAUCAGCUUGUUGGUGGGGUAGUGGCUUACCAAGGCUUUGACGGGUAGCCGGCCUGAGAGGGUGACCGGCCACAUUGGGACUGAGAUACGGCCCAGACUCCUACGGGAGGCAGCAGUGGGGAAUAUUGCACAAUGGGCGGAAGCCUGAUGCAGCAACGCCGCGUGCGGGAUGACGGCCUUCGGGUUGUAAACCGCUUUCGCCUGUGACGAAGCGUGAGUGACGGUAAUGGGUAAAGAAGCACCGGCUAACUACGUG